rnacentral:rRNA from 1 species
AAUCAACGCUGGCGGCGUGCCUCAGACAUGCAAGUCGAACGCGAAAGGCCCCUUCGGGGGCCCGGUAGAGUGGCGCACGGGUGAGUAACACGUAGGUAAUUUGCCUUCGGGUGGGGAAUAACAGCCGGAAACGGCUGCUAAUACCGCAUAAUGCAGCGGCUCGACAUCGAGACAGUUGUUAAAGCGGGGGAUCGCAAGACCUCGCGCCUGAAGAGAAGCCUGCGGCAGAUUAGCUUGUUGGUGAGGUAAUGGCUCACCAAGGCGACGAUCUGUAACCGGCCUGAGAGGGCGGUCGGUCACACUGACACUGACAUACGGGUCAGACUCCUACGGGAGGCAGCAGUCGGGAAUUUUGGGCAAUGGGCGAAAGCCUGACCCAGCAACGCCGCGUGAAGGAUGAAAUCUCUCGGGAUGUAAGCUUCGCAAGAACGGGAAGAA